CUAAAACCCAACCCUUAGCCCAUAACCCGAUAACCCCAUCUCACCUUCUUUCUCUCGGCAUAGGUCCCGACACACCCUCCUUUUCGCCGUCACCUCCACCACCCACCAUUCCUCUUCUGCUUCUUCCCAUUCUUCUUCUUUUUCGGUACCUCCUUUUCAUUUUGCCAUGCUCGAUUCCCCACUCUCCUUCGAAAAUUCCCCUCCCCAUUCCUCCCACCCUACGCCGCAACCCCAAACCACUCCACCCAUGAAUGCCGACUUACCGGCGGCCCAUUCUGGUGCUUCAUACAAGAAGAAAAAGGCGAAGAGCAUUAAGCCACACAAAACAACAAGCGACGCCAAGAGGAAGCAACCCGAACAGCCCACACAACCUGACCCAGUCCCGCCCCCAACUUCUGCCGCACCUGAUGUCCGCCGUGGAAUCCCAAAAUCAGCGGUCAAACGCUUAGGGACAUCUAAAGGUAACUUCGUCAUUCCCUCAUCUUUGCCUACUGCUAGACAUUGGGUGUUGCCUACUGCCGAAAUGAAAAGAAAGAAGACAAGAGUCGAAGCUCG
rnacentral:misc_RNA from 1 species